CCUACGGGCGGCUGCAGUGAGGAAUAUUGGUCAAUGGACGAGAGUCUGAACCAGCCAAGUCGCGUGAAGGAUGAAUGCCCUAUGGGUCGUAAACCUCUUUUAUAAAGGAAUAAAGCGAGGCACGCGUGCCUUUUUGCAUGUACCUUAUGAAUAAGGAUCGGCUAACUCCGUGCCAGCAGCCGCGGUAAUACGGAGGAUCCGAGCGUUAUCCGGAUUUAUUGGGUUUAAAGGGAGCGUAGAUGGGUUGUUAAGUCAGUUGUGAAAGUUUGCGGCUCAACCGUAAAAUUGCCAUUGAUACUGGCAGUCUCGAGUAGAGUUGAGGUAGGCGGAAUGCGUGGUGUAGCGGUGAAAUGCUUAGAUAUCACGCAGAACCCCGAUUGCGAAGGCAGCAUACUAAACUGUGACUGACAUUGAUGCUCGAAAGUGUGGGUAUCAAACAGGAUUAGAUACCCCUGUAGUC
rnacentral:rRNA from 1 species